GUCCUCCAUGGGAUGAUUUGCUUUGCCUUUUACUAGGCUAAAGCCAUACCUAGCAGGGCAUAAAUUGCCCCUGCCCUUUCCAGAGCUACAUGACGAACGUCCUCCUACAAACUGAGAAUAGACAGAAUUGAAGCAGCAUAAGUUAUCCAUACAAUUUAUUCUUCCCACUUCACCUUCUUUCCCCGUUCAAGAAUCAUCCACCUCAAUAGCAGAAGAGAAAUUCCUAAAUUUCUCCCCCCAAAAAAAGUUCCCACAAGAAA
rnacentral:misc_RNA from 1 species